rnacentral:lncRNA from 1 species
UAUAAAUAAGGGUCUUCUUCAGUUUCAUAAAUGCAUAGAAAAUUAACAAGCUCAAAUUCCUUCUUUUCAUAUUCAUCUCUUUCAUUUUGAAUUGCAACUUUAUCCUGCCUAAAUUCCUCAACAAUGAACCACCCAUCAGGACAGCCUCAAAAUGAACUUCCUUGGUCCGCCGGAUUCUGAGAUUGUUGCUCUGACCUGAAAACUUGUAACCCUUUCUUCUUUCUUCAAUAUCAGUUGUGUCUUUUUAAUUAUAUGAAUUAGUUUAUCAAUUAAAUAUAUGGACAUUUCAGGUUGCAUUUCAUACUGGUGCCCAUGCAUCACCUUUGGCCAGAUUGCUGAGAUUGUUGAUAAAGGGUCGACUUGUAAGUUAUUAAUUUCUAAAUUGAAAUCUUAUCAUCUUAGGUUUGCAGACAUAUAUAUAUAUUUAAAGAGAUAUUAUGUAAUUAAUAAUAAUGUUGAAAAACACUGUUGGAUGGUGCAGCAUGUGGGGCAAGUGGGGCACUAUACACAUUAAUAAUGUUCAUCACCGGGUGUGGGUGCUUAUAUUCUUGCUGCUACCGAUCCAAACUGAGAAAGCAGUAUAACUUGAAAGGAGGCGAUUGUGGCGAUUGCAUGCGUCAUUUCUGCUGCGAGCCUUGUGCCUUGACACAAGAGUAUCGUGAGCUCCAGAACCGUGGAUUCGACAUGUCUAUCGGUAUGUCUACAUACCAAUAUUAUACCCCUUUUAAUUAUUCUUAAUAUAACUUCAAGUAUAUUAAUUGAGUAGCUGUAAACAAAUAUCUCCGAAUAAAUAUGUUGGUAAUGAUGAGAUAAAUUAUUGUUUGAGGUCAUUAAUUUUGUGGGGGUAUAUUUAUAUAUGCAGGUUGGCAUGCAAAUGUGGAGAAGAACCCAGGGCUGGCAAUGGCUCCAGCGGUAGAAAAAGGCAUGAGCAAAUAGAUGAUGAUGAUGAUGAGACCACUGCAUUAAUAUCAUCUUUACAUGUAACACUUAAUUCCUUGGCUUUCCAUAAUUGGUUGAUUGUACGGCUUGCCAAUUGAAUUUCAAGUUAUGUAUGUUUGUGAUUGUCAAAUAUAUUAAUAAAAAGUGUUACUAUUCAUGUUAGAUCUUCAUGAAUAAGAAUGAGAAUCGAAAAUAACUUGUAAUAUUGUGUGUGCAUGUUUGGUAUUUAGGUGAAAUACUUAGAAAGAGAGGUUGGAUUAAAUUAAUUUUUUAUUAUCAAAAUGGAUGAUUUUAAUUUUUAUAUUAAUAAAAAGAAUUAAAUAAAAUUAAUAUUUAUUGUUUUAGAAAAUGACAUCAAAUUAUUGUUUUUUAUAGUUCAAUCCAAAUAAAAUAUCUACAAAAUCAUUAAAAACUUUUAAAAUGUGACUUUGUUAAAUAGUAAAUAGCAUUUUUUUAAAAGGGUUCAUAUAUAUCGUGAUACCUAAAGUUGGCAACUUCUACUUAGUAUCUAAAUCGGUACAUAAACUUGAAAAUUGUAAGUCAACUUCGUAUUUUUAUAAGUAUGAUGAUGUUGGUGUAGUGUGAGGAAGAAGACUUGAAUGGGUUUGAUUAUUUUUAAUAAUACAGGAAUUUACAUAUUAUAAGUAAAUAGACACUCACAUUCUUUAUGUAUUAUAAGGAAGAAGACUAAGUCGAUCUACUUUGUAAUCUCAUCAAUCUUAAUUUUCUCAAUUGUUAAGGGAGUUCAAAUGAAAUACAAAAUUUUGGUAAAAAAAAGUAUCCAAUUUUGUGAAUAAAAAAUAUAUGGUAAAAAAGAUUUGGUAUCGAUACUUCGGCGCGGGUAUCAAUACUCGAUACAUUGCUUUUGGUUGGAAAGUAGUGUCUGGAACGGCCAUGGGAUGUGUUGUUUUCCAAACCGGUAAGGCGAAAAGGUUUGUGAAUUUGGUUGAAGACCAACAUGAGAAGAGGCGAAGAAGAAAACCAAAAUAUAGCAAUCGCAUCAAUGGAUGAAGAAGGAUCUAGUUGGUGCAAAUGAAGUUAAAGCAUUUGUGCUGUGUCUUCAUAAUUUCUUGUUUAGUAGUCUGUCAGAAAGUUUUUCCUAUGGUGAAAAGUUGCAUUGGUAUGUGUCUGUCUUUAUGAUUGUACCAAUUCCUCUGUAUUUCAUUGCAUUUCGUACUAUUUGUAAGGGUUUAGUUCGAGUGUAACAUCUUGUAUGGUGCAACUAUGUAUGUCUUCUUUCUUGAUUAUUGAAAUUAUAAUCAAAAUUAAUACAUGUUCUUUUUAUUAGCUUAAGGGCGUAAAAACACUUCAAAAUUUUCAAAAAAUAAAAUAAAAUUUUAAGUCCCUCUUUUUUUUACACUCAAUUGAAAUUUUUAAAAUGUAUCAAAAAUAUCUUUACAGUUCUUCAAAAAAAAAAACAAUUAAACCCCUAUUUUUUUUCCGCUCAAUUGGGUACUUGAACUUUCAUAAUGCAUCAAAAAUGCCUUAAAUUUUUUUCAAAAAAGCAAUUAAGCCCCUACUCUUAUUAAAAAUUAGAAAAAAAUCAUAAAAAUAAUAAAUUUUAGAAAAAAUUAUUAAAUUUUAAUAAAAAUUUAAAAUUUUAUUAAAAAUUAGAAUUUUUUUUUAGAAAAAUCGUCAAAAAAUAAAAAAUUAUAAAAUCCAUCAAAAAGUUUUAACAAUUAACUUUAACUAUUGAUCGUUAAAGUUAACGACCUCUAGUUUUUUCAAUUAAAGUCAUUAUGUGUCGCAACUCAACGUGACAUGUAGCGAAAAUAGAUAAAAAAGUAAAAAUCAAUAAAAGUUAUAGAAAAAUUAUAAAAUAUUUCUUUUGGUAGAAUAAUUUUUAUAAAUUUUUUUUACAAAAUUUAUAUUUCUUUACAUUUUGUAUAAUUUUCUUAUAACUUUAUAAAAUUUUAUAAAUUUUUAUAUUUCUAUAUAUUUUAAAAUUUUUUAAAAUUUUUAUAAAAUUUUACAAUUUUUAUAUAUUUUUAAUAAAUUUUUAAUAUUUGAUUUUUUAUUAAAAUUUAAUAAUAUUAUAGAUUUUAUUGAUUUUAAUUUUUUAUCUAAUUUUUAAUAAAAUUAGGGGGUUAAUUGCUUUUUUUUUAAGUUUGAGGGUCUUUUUGAUGCAUUUUGAAAGUUCAAGUACCCAAUUGACUGCAAAACAAAAAGAAAAAAAGUAGGGGCUUAAUUGCUUUUUUUGAAAAUGUUUGAGGGCUUUUUUGAUGUAUUUUGAAAGUUCAAGUACCCAAAUGAGUGCAUAAAAAGAACAGGGGUUUAGUUGCUAUUUUGAAAAAGUUUGAGGGCUUUUUGCACCUUUAAACCUCUUUUCUUUUUCUAAAUUUAAUUUAGAACCAACUUUGUGUAAAGACUUGGGAAAUUUAAUUAGCAAAAUUUCUUUCCAUGUAAAAAUUUCCCCUAUUUCUUGUUUGAAUUUAAAGCAAUACAAUAUUUUUCUAGCAAAUAAUAGAAAAUGACAGUCAAUUAAUUCCAGCAAUACAACAUUUCCAGUCUGGUGGAAAACAGCUAGGGACCAAAUUUUUAAAGUGUUGUUUACUACACACUUAGGGACCAUAUAUGUAUAUAUAUAUAUUCCAGUCUGGGUCUUUGUCGUGUUUUGUUGGUUGGCUAUGGCCUUCUUGUUGUUUCAUGGCCACUGCCCGUGAAUUAAGUCAUAUGUGGCCUUGUUUGCUAGACCUUAGUUGCUAAGUUAAAGGGAGUGAAUAGAGCACCAUAUUUCUUCUUCUGCGUGGAAAAUAAGUUGGCAUUAUGCCAAAUUCCACAUUCAUACAUAGAAAGGAAGCAAGGCCAAGUCAUUAUACUUUGUAAUCUCAUCAAUUCUAAUUAUUUCACUUCUUCAUUCUUUAGGGAGUUCAAGUGAAAUACAAAUUUUUCCACAUCCAAUCUCAUAAAUAAUCCGUCUUUGAACUUUCACAAAAAAAUAUUAAAUACCCAUUCACUUUAAUUCUACUAUUCUUAAAUCAUUCAAGUUUUGUGGAAAAUAUGCUUCUUGGAUAAAAUUAUUCAACACACAUGCCUUGAAUUUUAUGCAAUAAAAUAAAUCAAUAUAGGCCACACAUGCUUUGAAUAUUUAAGUAGUCCACAAUUUUGUUCGUUUGUGUGCAAAAUUCUACAUUGCUUGACAGCCAUACAUUCUAAGUAAAUAGACACCCACAUUGUUUACGUAUUAUGAAGAAGAAGACUAAGUCAGUCUACUUUGUAAUCUCAUCAAUCUUAAUUUUCUCAGUUAUUUAGGGAGUUCAAAUGAAAUACAAAAUUUUGGGAAAAAAAAUGUAUCCAAUUUUGUGAAUGAAAAAUAUAUGGUAAAAAGGAUUUGGUAUGGAUACUUCGGCUCGGGUAUCAAUACUCAGGGUAAGUUUAUCGAUACAUUGCUUUUGGUUGGAAAGUGGUGUUGAUAGGUGAUGACUAAAAUUUGAUAAAUUUGAAAAGUACAUGAAAUUUAACGAUUAUUGUUUGGUGAUGACUAAAAUUUUAAAAUUUGAAAAGUACAUGAACUAAAAAUGACCAAAUUAAAGUAUAAAGAUUAAGUCCACAACUUUUGCAAAGUACAAGGACUAAUAGCAGAAAUUAACCUAAAUUUCAUAUGGGUCAAUUACAAAAAUAAUCACUAAACUAUUCCUUUGGUUCUAUUCUAGUCACUCAACUAUAGAGGUGCUCAUGGGCUGAGCCAGGUCAAGCCUAAGUAUGAUAUUAAUGUAUUUUAUACUUGCUCAAGCUUGGCUCGGCCUGAAAUAUGAGCUUAAAAUUUUGCCUGAACUCAUCCAUAUUUGCAAAAGACUAACCCAAGCUCAUUUUAAGCAUGCCUAUAUAAUUUUUAAUUUUUUUUAAAUAUUUAUAUUAUAUUAUAUUAAUUAAUAAUUUAAACAUUUUUUAUUUAUUAAAAUUUUUUAUAGUCAUUUUAACAUUAUUUUAAUGUUUACAUUAUAGUAUUAUUAUAUAUUUAGUAUAAGUAUUUUUUUAAUAUGUUCUAAUUUAUAUAAUAUAAAGUAUUAUACACUUAAAAACGGGCCGGGCUGGGCUUGAGCUUUAGUUGUUACUCAACUAUUAAUUUUUUCGAUUUAGUUGUUAACCUUUUCAAAAGUAAAUAUUUUAGUCAGUCUCCUAUUAGUUGUUGUUAAAUGAGUGACGGAAAGCUAAUGUGAGCUUUUUUUAUUAGUCUAAUAACAAAUUUAGCCCUCCAAUGUUUACACAUUCUAUCAAUUUGAUCGUAAAUAUAAAAAAAAAAUCAACAAAUUUAGCCCUGAAUAUUAACAAAACUUGUCAUUUUAGUUCAAAUUCUAAAAAAUUUAAUAAAUUUAACCUUUAAUAUUUUCAAAAAAAUAGCAAUUUAGUUCUAAUUCUAAAAAUUUUAAUAUAUAUAUUUAAAAAAAUAUUUCUAAUCCUCUGUCUCACCCUUUGAUUUUUUAGAUGAGCUAAAAUCAAAAUAUAUCAUUAUGUCUUUUUGUUUUAAUGCUAAAAGAGAUAAAAAAAAAUGGAAAGCUAAAAUGGCUUUUCGUUUGUGAAGUUAAAAAAUGCCAAAUAAAUUAUUAUGUCUUUUUAGUUUUAAUUUUUUACUUGAUUAAAAGAGAAAUAAUUAACGAAUGAAAAAUAAUUAUUCACAAAUAAAUUUAUCAGAAUUUAUAACAAAUGAGAUUUUAAAUUUGAAUUUAUAAAUCAAAAUUUAUAUAUAUAUAUAUAUAUAUAUAUAUAUAAAAGAAAACACAUUUUUAUGAAAUAUAAGAUUUUGUUAAAAGAAAGAGCAUAUAAAAGCAUACACGUUUUUAUGAAAUACAAGAUUUUGCUAAAAGAAAAAGCAUCCAAUUUUAAGAAUGAAAAAUAUGUGGUAAAAGCAUCCAUAACUUUUCAAUGUAAAAGAAAAAAAAACUGUAACACCAAUGUUGUGGUAUUAUUUGUUGCCUAUAAAUACCAUUCCUAUCCUUCAUCUUCCUCUACCAACAUAACAUGGCCUCCUCCUAUCUCUUUCUCUUUCUCUGCCUAUUCCUCUUCUUUCCCCAUCUUUAUGCUUCUUUUUCUUCUUCAGGAUCUCACUCCUGCUCUUCACUAAUCCAGUUUAAGGACUCUUUUUCCAUAACAGAGGAUGCUUCUUCUGAUUGCAAUGAGAUUGCUGGCCAUAAAUUUUAUCCCAAGACCAAUUCAUGGAAGGAGGGUACAGAUUGCUGCUCAUGGGAUGGGGUCACUUGCGACCACCUAAAUGCUCAUGUUAUUGCCCUUGACUUGAGCUGCAGUUGGCUAUAUGGCAACUUCCCUUCCAAUUCCACUCUCUUCCUUCUUCCUCACCUUCAAAAACUCAACCUUGCCUACAAUUAUUUUAAUCUUUCCAAAAUUCCAUCCGAGUUCGGUCGGUUUACAAGCCUAUUCUACCUCAACCUUUCUUAUACAUGGUUUGCAGGAGAAGUCCCAUCCCAAGUCUCCCACCUGUCAAAAUUGGUUUCACUUGAUCUCUCCUUUUGGAUUGAUAACUAUGAGCAACUUACAAUUGACAAACAUGCUCUGGAGGGACUUGUUCACAACCUAACCGAGGUCAGACAUCUGUUUUUGGAUGGAAUCAACAUGACUUCUGUUAAUGCUCAUGUCUUCAUGAAUCUAUCCUCUUCUCUAAGAUCUCUCAGUCUUGCUGGUUGUGAUUUGCAAGGAAAAUUCCCAAAAAACAUUUUUGAUUUGCCAAACCUCAAUCUCCUCAACUUGGGAGGCAACCAAUUGAGUGGACAAAUUCCAAGAUCAUUGGGGAACCUCUUGCAACUCACUGUUUUAGACUUGUGGGGGAACAAAUUGAGUGGACAAAUUCCAUUGUCAAUUCUAAACCUAACGCAGUUGGAAUACUUGGUAAUAUCUGAAAAUUCUUUAGAAGGUUCUAUUCCAGAUGAGGUAACCGCUGUUCCGAAUCUAAUAUAUUUAGUCUUAUAUGACAAUUUACUCAAUGGAACACUUCCGUCAUGGUUGUAUACUGCUCCCUCCUUAAAGGGUAUAAUUCUCUCUCAAAAUCAAUUCAGUGGGCAUAUCAAAGAAUUCCAAACCAAAUCACUAGAAUAUUUAGAUCUAGAAAAUAAUAAACUCCAAGGUCCCCUUCCAUCUUCAAUAUUCCAACUUCUCAAUCUUACCGGGCUCCUUUUAUCCUCAAAUAAUCUUAGUGGUGUCAUAGAGUUUCGCAUGUUCUCAAACCUUCCAAAUCUCAAAUAUCUUUACCUUUCAUAUAACAACCUAUCCUUAACAUCUAAUUCUACUUCUACUGUUAAUCAUAUAUUGCCUAAUCUUACAGACGUACUUUUGUCAUCUUGCAAUCUUAGUGAAUUCCCCCAGUUUUUAAAAGGGCUUAAAAGUUUGGAAAGCUUAGACCUCUCUUGCAACAAAAUUGAAGGCAAGAUUCCACAGUGGAUGCAAGAGGUGGGGAAUGUCUCUUUGACUUACUUCAACGUAUCUCACAACUCUUUGACAGAAGUUGAGCACUUUCCAUGGAAGAAUAUUGAAAGGCUUGACUUAAGCUCCAAUUUGAUCAGUGGAAAUCUUCCGAUUCCAGCUUCGACCAUCAGUGUCUUUUUUAUCUCAAAUAAUAGUUUCAAUGGAGAGGUCUCUUCUUUAAUAUGCAAUGCCAGUUCUCUUCGAAUUCUUGAUUUGUCCCACAAUAACUUGAGUGGACCAAUUCCGCAAUGUUUUGGAAAUUUGAGUGACAGCCUUGAAAUCUUGAAUCUGAAGAAGAACAAGUUCUAUGGGACGAUUCCUCCAAAAUUUGCAAAGGGAUGCCGAUUGACUAAUUUCAACUUAAAUGGAAAUCUGUUAGAAGGGCCAUUGACUCCAUCCAUCCUUAAUUGUAGGGGUCUGGAAGUGCUAGAUCUUGGUAACAACAAGAUCAAUGAUACAUUUCCUCAUUGGUUGGGAAGUCUUCCACAGCUACAAGUUCUUGUAUUGAAGUCAAAUCAUAUGCAUGGUUCCUUAUGUGUCAAUAGCUCUAAGUCUAGCCCUUUUUUCUCUAAAAUCCAAAUUUUUGACCUCUCAAGUAACUAUUUUUCUGGACCCCUACCAGUGAGAUACAUCAACAGCUUCAAGGCUAUCAUAAAUGUAGAGAAGAUUGGUAGUACAGUGUCGUACAUGGGGGUGAAUGAUGAUGGAGGUGACUUCUAUACCUAUUCCAUUGGAAUUGUCAUGAAAGGGAGAGAUAUGGAAUUGGUGAAAAUUUUCACCAUGUGGAUGAUCAUUGAUCUAUCAAACAAUCAGUUUGAAGGGGGUAUUCCAGAGGUUUUUGGGAAGCUUAACUUACUGAAAGGGCUCAACCUUUCUCAUAAUAACCUUAAUGGUGGUAUCCCCACCUUAAUAGGGAAUUUGACAAGUCUUGAAUGGUUGGACCUAUCUUCAAACAGGUUGUCUGGGACGAUUCCAAAUAGAUUGGCAGAUCUGCCAUUUCUUUCGUCCUUCAAUGUUUCUGAAAAUCAACUCCAUGGUCAGAUUCCUCAAGGCAAACAGUUCAACACAUUUGGAAAUGAUUCAUAUGAAGGAAACAAGGCAUUAUGUGGAUUUCCGGUCUCAAAAGGUUGCAACAUCAUUGAGCCAGCACCUCCAAAUGUGCUUGAAAAAGAUGGCUCAAAAUCAAACAUUACUUUUGGUUGGAAAGUGGUGUUGAUAGGUUAUGGAUGCGGAGUGGUGUUCGGAAUGUCCGUGGGAUAUGUUGUUUUCCAAACUGGUAAGCCGAAAUGGUUGGUGAAUUUGGUUGAAAUCCAACAUGAGAAGAAGCGAAGAAGAAAGUCAAAGGAUGGCAGUCGCAGCAAUGGACGAAGAAGAAUCUAGUUAGUGGAAAUGAUGUUCAAGUGUUGAUGUUGUAUCUUCAUAAUUUCUUGUUUUGAAGUCUGUCAAAUUUUUUUCCUAUCGUGAAAGGCUGCAUUGCCAUGCAUCUGUCUUUUUUAUUGUAACCAUUCAUCUAUAUUUCAUUGCAUUACGUAGUAUUUGUAAGGGUUUGUUUUAAAUGUAACAUUUUGUAUGGUUCAACUAUUUAUGUCUCUUUCAUGAGUUUCAUUUUUGAGUCUCAAUAAUCUCUGCAUUCAAGAUUUUGUCAGCUUAUUAAUUGGUGGAUCAAUAAUCUUCAUGCUCAUCUCAUCAUCUUUUUCUCGAGUUAAACACAGUCACUACUAUAAUAAUUUCUUCUGUGUGGAAAAUAAUUUGGCAUUCUGCAAAUUUCCACAAUGCUUGUGGAUUACCUCUGGUUGACGGCUAUACAUAUAAAGGAAGGAAACAAGACUAUGUCAAAAUUUCCAAAAAUCAGUCAUUCAUUUUUGAACAAUUAAACAUUCCUAUUCUAUUUUUCAAAAUUGUAAAUCCUCAAAUAAUGUAAAUUAGUCCUAAAACUCAAGUUUUGAAAUCUUUACAAUUUAACCCCUUAUAGUUUCAAACUUUACUAUUUUAUGCUCAACUUUCUAAAUCUUCAUAUUUCAUGAUCAUAUAAUUUAGUUAUUACAUCAAUAUUUCAGAUUUCACUACUCAAACCCUUACUUCAUUUUGGUCCUUACUUCAAUUUUUUCAAAUUAAAUCAAUUUUCAAUUUGACUGCAUUGAUGUGAAAUUGAGGGAGCACUAAACAAUGUUGAUGCGAGUUUAGGUAAAAUUGGUGGAUCCCAUCUCCUUAGUAAUUUCUUUAUGGAAGUAGCUGCUUUCACACUGCAAACUUGAAUAGUUUGUGGUGGACGAUGAUGAAUCAUUUGACAAUCAAACACAUAAUUUUUAAACACAAAAUUAACGAUAUUUUGAAAUCAUUAUUGAAAUUAUAAUCAAAAUUAAUACAUGUUCUUUUUAUUAGCUUAAGGUCGUAAAAACCCUUCAAAAUUUUCAAAAAAAAAAAAAAUUUAAGUCCCUCUUUUUUUUUUUCUAAUUUUUAAUAAAAGUAGGGGCUUAAUUGCUUUUUUUUUUUUAAGUUUGAGGGUCUUUUUGAUGCAUUUUGAAAGUUCAAGUACCCAAUUGAGUGCAAGAAGAAAGUAGGGGCUUAAUUGCUUUUUUUUAUGUAUUUUGAACGUUCAUGUACCCAAAUGAGUGCAUAAAAAAAACAGGGGUUUAGUUGCUAUUUUUGAAAAGGGUUUGAGGGCUUUUUGCACCCUUAAACCUCUUUUCUUUUUCUAAAUUUAAUUUAGAACCAACUUUGAGUAAAGACUUGGGAAAUUUAAUUAGCAAAAUUUCUUUCCAUGUAAAUAUUUCCCCUAUUUCUUGUUGGAAUUUAAAGCAAUACAAUAUUUUUGUAGCUAGUAACAGAAAACGACAGUCAAUUAAUUCCAAGCAAUACAAAAUAUCCAGUCUGGUGGAAAAUUUGUUUGUUAGAUUCUAUUAUUCAACUUUUAAGGCAUAAGUCUGAAUAUAGGGACUAAAUUUUUAAAGUGUUGUUUAUUUUAAAAUCUAUUAAUAUAUACACACUUAGGGACCAUAUAUAUAUAUAUCAUAUAUAUAUAUAUAUAUUCCAUUCUGGAUCUUUGUCGUGUUUUGUUGGUUGGCUCUGGCCUUGUUGUUGUUUCCACUGCCUGUGGUCUCUGUUUCUAAGUCAUAUGUGGCCUUGUUUGCUAGACCUUAGUUGCUCUUCACAUGUCUUGUAUUUUGUCAAGUUAAUUGAAAUGGAAAAUAAAAGUGUUGGCAUUACAGAUUAGAGUAAAAGGAAUUAGUGUUGAAGUUGGGGUUGUUCAAUUGUUGGAAUUCAUGUGUGUAUUUUUUUGAGUAUCUGGGUCUUUGUCGUGUUUUCUUGGUUGGCUAUGGCGGCCUUCUUGUUGUUCCCACUGUCUGUGGUAUUUGUUUCUAAGUCAUAUGUGGCCUUGUAUGCUAGACCUUAGUUGCUAAGUUAAAGGGAGUGAAUAGAGCACCAUAUUUCUUCUUCUGCGUGGAAAAUAAGUUGGCAUUAUGCCAAUUUCCACAUUCAUACAUAUAAAGGAAGCAAGAGCAAGUCAAUAUACUUUGUAAUCUCAUCAAUUCUUCUUCUUUCUUUAGGGAGUUCAAAUGAAAUACAAAUUUUUGGUAAAUCAACUCUUCAUUUUUAUGAAUAAAAAUUAUAUGGUAGAAAGGAAGUGGUGUUAAUAAUAAUAAUAAUAAUAAAAAGAUUAACAAUAGAACACUAAUAAAGCAAUUUAGUCUAUGAUCUGCACAAUAUAUUACUACAAAUGUACCGUACAGAAUAUUGAAAGAAAACUAAUAAAGAAGUUCGAAAUUUAAACAAUGUUCCGCAAAUUAUGUUUAUGAUCUGCUGUAAAUUGAUAUGUUAAAUCAACUCUUCAUUUUUAUGAAUAAAAAUUAUAUGGUAAAAAGGAAGUGGUGUUAAUAAUAAUAAUAAAGAUCAACAAUAGAAAACUAAUAAAGCAAUUUAGUCUAUGAUCUGCAUAAUAUAUUACUACAAAUGUACCGUACAGAAUAUUGAAAGAAAACUAAUAAAGAAAUCCGAAAUUUUAACAAGGUUCCGCAAAUUAUGUUUAUGAUAUGAUGUAAAUUGAUAUGUCAAAUUUUGUGGCAAGUAAUAGAAAAUGACAAAUUCCACAUUCAUACAUAUAAAGGAAGCAAGAUCAAGUCAAUAUACUUUGUAAUCUCAUCACUUCUUCUUCUUUCUUUAGGGAGUUCAAAUGAAAUACAAAAUUUUGGUAAAUCAACUCUUCAUUUUUAUGAAUAAAAAUUAUAUGGUAAAAGGAAGUCUUGUUAAUAAUAAUAAUAAGAUUAACAAUAGAAAACUAAUAAAACAAUUUAUCCAAAUAUCAAAAUAAAUAUUAACUUUUUCAGAAACCAAAAUUAUUUUCUAAAAAUUAUUUUUUAAAAACUAUUUUUAGUGAAACAAACUGAGUCUUAGCCCAUAUUGUAAAUUAUUUUGUGGGUCUGGAAUUCUUGUACAUUAUGCUGCAAAAGAGUGAAAUUUCCUUACAGCUAGUCGAUCAAGUUUGGUUGAAAUUGAAUGCAUUGAUGUGAAAUUGAGGGAGCCUAAACAAUGUUGAUGCGAGUUUAGGUAAAAUUAGUGGAUCCCAUCUCCUUAGUAAUUUCUUUAAGGAAGUAUCUGCUUUCACACUGUGUUGACAACUUCCCACAGAUCAAAGGCCUGCAGGUAAGUCUUCAUAUUUACCAGCCAUAUGUGAAAACCUUCUCCAUUGAAGACUGGUGGGACUGCUGGUGAAAAUCCUGAAGAAGCCAUCAGGUUUCUUGAUUUGAAGCAACAGGUCCACUAAGAAAAGGGCUCUAGAUACCAAUUGUUGGUGUAAAAGGGCAGAAGCAAACUGAUUUAAGCUUGCUUAUACAGCAAGCCUCGAGCCUUGUAGAAGAAACAAUCUCAGCAGAAAGCAAAAAUGAAGCUUGCAGUUGGAAAAACAAGAAAACAAGGAGAGAAUUUGAAUGAAAAACAAGCUGAGUUGUUCAUUAACAUUACAACAAGGCAUAUUGCCAUUACAUAUAUCAGUUAACUUGUCAAAUAAACAAGUAAUCACCUAAUCAAUUACCUAACACCACUAAUAUGCAUUGAAACUUACAAAAUUAGCUUGCAAACAUUACAUUGCUGAUAUUUCAGUCAAUCAACAUCAAAAUUACACCAAAACAUUCACCUGCUUAGUUCAAUGUGAACUAGAUUACAAAAUGAUUAAAAUACAACUAAAACAACAAGUGGUUCAGUAACUUGAAGCUUCAGCUGCUGCACACCAUGGCUCGAUUGCCUGCUGCCAUUUCUUCUUGCAUGGCCACCUUUGCAUGGGAACUAAACUCAACAUACACGAACUAAUGCAAAUAUGCUAGUGGUUUAUUUUCCACCUAUCUGAUUUUUUAAAAUGUUCUUCAGUUACACCAGUUGAUGCAAUCUAUUAUUACCUGCCUCGUUGCAAAAAGGUUAGGAAAUAAAUUCACCGACAAUCAUUGGGAACUAAGAAACUUCGCAGCAAAGCUAGUGGCAUCAAUAUGCAAAAGGUGAAGAUUCUUUUCUUUUGGACUUAUACAUGCAUAUUCGUUUUUAUGAAUUUCAGGUGUCUGAGUUUUUAGUUAUAAACUUGGAUCUAUUCUUCAAAUCAUGUGUAUAUCAUUUUUAUGCUAUUUCACACUUGCAAAACAAAUGGUGCGAGCGUGCAUGUUAUAUGCAGAAUACAUAGAUUAAUUACAUGUGGAUCAUUAAGCAUGCCUAUGUUUGACGAUUGUGUGUGGCUACCUUUUUUUACAUGAUCCAAUUUUCGAUAUGCUUUGCUUUUAGGUUGAAUGCGGAAAAGAUUAGAACUUAAUUUCCAGCAUAAUGAUUUGUCUUGGAUAUGCAGAUUUUACAUGCAUUUCUUACAAGUCAAUAUUUUAUAGAUUUGGGCAUGUUUAUCACAAUCUUCAGCCACGUGUGACAAGGACACUGCUCCACGCUUUUUUGGACCCAACGAAAACAUUUCCCCAGUAUUACGGAGCAAUUCAAGGGUUAGCAGCCCUUGGACCCAGUGUGGUAUAAUUCUAAUCUCAAAUAUUUACUAGCAACACAAUAAGAUACUUGUUUGUGGGAUCAAUUGGUCAAAGAUAUUGCAAUGAUAGCCAUCUUUUUAAGCCCAUUUCUUUCAGAAAACUGUUUUGUCACUCUUUUCUGCAAGAUCCGAAGAAAGAAAGAACAUGGAAAUCUUUAGUCCAAAAGUGUAAAUAUGCGGUUUCUCUAUAGCUAUCUUGAUUAUGGCAUCUGUAAAGUUUGUCUUUCAUAUGUUUGGCUAACGCUUCUUCAUCCAUAUGUAGGUUCGUUUACUUAUACUACCAAACCUUGAAGCGUAUUUGCAGCUUCAUGAACCUGAAAUAAAAAGACACGAGGCCUGGUGUUUUUAUGGGGCCCUGCUGGUAAGUUUAACAUCAAAUUUGGUACCAGUUUACGAGCAUCAUUUCAUUUAUUUGCUAUAGAACUAACAACACUGCAUAAAAUUUCCACUAAAAGCGUGCAGCUGGACUGUGCAUGUAUGAUCGGCUUAAAAUGUUCCCCAGUUUGCUAGCACCCCCAACUCGGCCCGUCUGGAAAAGCAACAACAAAGUUGCGACAAGUAUGAUUUCUUCGAACCAUCAUAUUUACACUUAAUCCACAGGUCUCUUCUCCCCCUUUACGAUUUUCCUUUUUCUGAUCAAUCAAGAUAAACGAAAAGCAAGCACGGACGCCUUGAUGCAGCAGCAACCACCUGCGAAGAAAAUAGCAACUGAGAGUGCAAUAGGUAUGAUGCCAAUAAAUUCCAUGCAAACUGAUUUACAAGGGGCAGUUAGCAGCUUUUCUACCACCGUAGGAGGUUCCAAUAUCGGUGUAUCAUCAAUGUCACGGCCGUUAUCAAACGAUAACAUGCUAGGAAGGGAGGUUGGGGGUCGAGUUUCAAGGACAUCAACCGUUCUAGCUCAGGCUUGGAAGGAAGACACAGACCCAGGGAACUUGUUAGCAUCAUUAUUUGAACUUUUUGGUGAAAGUAUGUAAUUAAAAUAAUAUAUUGGCUUAACCCUCCUAAAUUAUGUAUUUUUUUCCAUCUUGGGACCUAAAUUUUUUUGGGGUCAUAAGUGGUACCUAAACUACAUUUUUUCUCCUUCAAAUUAGUAUCUUCAUUAAUUAAACCGUUAAGUCUAUUUAAAAAAGAAAGACUCGAACAACAAAUUAAUACCUAAACAGUGCUCUUUUUCUCAAGGUACCUAAUUUUUAUUUUGGCCAUAAGUACUACUAAAACUAUUCUUCCGUUACUCAUUUUACACCAAAAUGUUAUAUCGGCUGAAAAGAUUCCAACAAAUAAUAGAUUGUAUGUUAUAUAAACUUUUAAAAAUAAUUAUUAUUUAAUUAAUUUUUUAUAUUUUUCUUUCUUAUUCCUUUCUAAUGUUUGGCAAUGCUGAUAAUGUUUGAAAUUGUCCCACUUGAGGUCAAAAUACUGGUGAUUAAUUUUGGUUUUGAAUUUCACCACCUACUUCUUUGACCUAAGGGGAUAGAAAAUGUUCUUUUAUCGAUCAAAACUAGUAUUUUCAAAAACAGAUUGAUUCAACUGGUUGGAUAGGAAAUCGGUCUGGAAAUAAGGGUUGAAUCGAUUGACUUGCGACCAAAAACAAAUCAGUUGAACUAAGUUAAAAAAACUGGUUGAACUAGUUCUCUCCAUUUAUAUAUAUAUAAAUAAUAAUAGUCUUUUUUUGUACUAUAUGUCAAUUUUUAAUUGGUUAAUUUUUUUUUUCAUAUAAACUGAACGGUUUGACUAAUGACGGAGGUACCAAAUUAUAGUCUAGGUACCAAUUCAUGGGUUAAGCCUAUUUCUACAAUAGACUUUUGACUAAUGGCGGUAGUAACUUGGGAAAAAAAAAGUAGUUUAUGUACCACUUGUGACAAAAAAUAAGUUUAGGUACUAUCAUGGGAAAAUGAGUAUAAUUUAGAUACUAAUUUAUGAGUUAAGCCUAAUAUAUUUGCCACAUCAUUUUUUGAAAAUAACAGAACUUAAUAAAUUUAACGGUUAUUAUUUGAUGAUGACUAAAAUUUUUAAAUUUGAAAAGUACAUGAACUAAAAAUGACCAAAUUAAAGUAUAAAGAUUAAGUCCACAACUUUUGCAAAGUACAAGGACUAAUAGCAGAAAUUAACCUAAAUUUCAUAUGGGUCAAUUACAAUAAUAAUCACUAAACUAUUCCUUUGGUUCUAUUCUAGUCACUCAACUAUAGAGCUGCUCAUGAGCCGGGCCAGGUUAGGCCUAAGCAUGAUAUUAACGUACUUUAUGCUUGCUCAAGCUUGGCUCGGCCCGAAAUAUGAGCUUAAAAUUUCGCCUAAACUCAUCAAUAUUUGCAAAAGACUAACCCAAGCUCAUUUUAGGCAUGCCCAUAUAAUUUUUAGUUUUUUUUUUUUAAAUAUUUAUAUUAUAUUAUUUUAAGAAUUAAUAAUUUGAACUAUAGUAUUAUUAUAUAUUUAGUAUAAGUUUAUUUUUUAAUCUGUUCUAAAUUAUAUAAUAUAAAAUAUUAUACACUUAAAAACGGGCCGGGCUGGGCUCGAGCUUUAAAUGUUCAAGUCUUAACCCGGCCCAUAUUUUAAACGGGCUUAAUUUUUUUACCAAAACCCAAUUUUCGGGCCUAAUUUUUUUACUCAGACCCUCCCAAAUUUUGGGCUGCCCUUGGGCUUUGGCAAGUAGCCCAACUCAUGAACAAGUUUACUCAACUAUUAAUUUUUUCGAUUUAGUUGUUAACCUUUUCGAAAGUAAAUAUUUUAGUCAUUCUCCUAUUAGUUGUUGUUAAACGAGUGACGGAAAGCUGAUGUGGGCUUUUUUUAUUAGUCUAAUAACAAAUUUAGCCCUCCAAUGUUUACACAUUCUAUCAAUUUGAUCCUAGAUAUAAAAAAAUCAACAAAUUUAGCCCUGAAUGUUAACAAAACUUGUCAUUUUAGUUCAAAUUCUAAAAAAUUUAAUAAAUUUAACCCUUAAUAUUUUCAAAAAUUAGCAAUUUAGUUCUAAUUCUAAAAAUUUUAAUAUAUAUAUUUAAAAAAAUAUUUUUAAUCAUCUGUCUCACCCUUUGAUUUUUUAGAUGAGCUAAAAUCAAAAUGAGAUAAAAAAAAAUAAAAAGUUAAAAUGACUUUUCGUUUGUAAAGUUAAAAAAUGCUAAAUAAAUCAUUAUGUCUUUUUAGUUUUAAUUUUUUACUUGAUUAAAAGAGAAAUAAUUAACAAAUGAAAAAUAAUUAUUUCUAUAUAAAUUUAUCAAAAUUUAUAACAAAUGAUAUUUUAGAUUUGAAUUAUCAGACUAUAUAUAUAUAAGUAUACACAUUUUUAUGAAAUAAAAGAUUUUGCUAAAAGAAAAAGCAUCCAAUUUUAAGAAUGAAAAAUAUAUGGUAAAAGCAUCCAUAACUUUUCAAUGUUAAAGACAAAAAAGACUGUAACACCAAUGUUGUGGUAUUAUUUGUUGCCUAUAAAUACCAUUCCUAUCCUUCUUCUUCCUCUACCAACAUAACAUGGCCUCCUAUCUCUUUCUCUCCCUAUUCCUCUUCUUUCUCCAUCUUUAUGCUUCUUUUUCUUCUUCAGGAUCUCACUCCUGCUCUUCACUAAUCCAGUUUAAGGACUCCUUUUCCAUAAGAGAGGAUGCUUCUUUUGAUCAUUGCGAUUAUUUUGCUGGCCUUAAAUCUUAUCCCAAGACAAAUUCAUGGAAGGAGGGUACAGAUUGCUGCUCAUGGGAUGGGGUCACUUGUGACCACCUAAAUGCUCAUGUUAUUGCCCUUGACUUGAGCUGCAGUUGGCUAUAUGGCACCUUCCCUUCCAAUACCACUCUCUUCCUUCUUCCUCACCUUCAAAAACUCAACCUUGCCUACAAUGAUUUUAAUUCUUCCAAAAUUCCAUCCGAGUUCGGUCGGUUUACAAGCCUAUUCUACCUCAACCUUUCCAAUACAUGGUUUUCAGAAGUCCCAUCCCAAGUCUCCCACCUGUCAAAAUUGGUUUCACUUGAUCUUUCUGGGUUUGAUGAACUAUUAACAAUUGACAAAUAUGCUCUGGAGGGUCUUGUUCACAACCUAACCGAGGUCAGACGUCUGUUUUUGGAUGAAAUGGACAUGUCUUCAGUUAAUGCUCAUGUCUUCAUGAAUCUAUCCUCUUCUCUAAGGUCUCUCAGUCUUGUUGGUUGUGAUUUGCAAGGAAAAUUCCCAAAAAACAUUUUUGAUUUGCCAAACCUCAAUCUCCUCAACUUGGGAGGCAACCAAAACCUCAAUCUUGAUCCUUUGAAGUUCAAUCGGAGCAGCAAUCUUGAACAAUUGAUAAUUUCAGACGCAAAUAUUUGUGGAGGAUUGCCUGACUCGAUGGGGAAUCUUGUGUCCUUGAAGUUUUUAGUUCUCUCCCAUUCCAACUUAUCAGGACUGGUUCCAAGAUCACUGGGGAAUCUCUUGAAACUCACUCAUUUAGACUUGUCGGAGAACCAAUUGAGUGGACAAAUUCCAAGAAAAUUGGGGAACCUCUUGCAACUCACUCAUUUAGACUUGUCGAAGAACCAAUUGAGUGGACAAAUUCCAAGAUCAUUAGGGAACCUCUUGCAACUCACUCAUUUAGACUUGUGGCUGAACCAAUUGAGUGGACAGAUUCCAAGAUCAUUGGGGAACCUCUUGCAACUCACUGUUUUAGACUUGGGAUGGAACAAAUUGAGUGGACAAAUUCCAUUGUCAAUUCUAAACCUAACGCAGCUGGAAUACUUGACAAUAUCUAACAAUUCUUUAGAAGGUUCCAUUCCAGAUGAGGUAACCGCUUUUCAUAAUCUAAUAUAUUUAGACUUAUCUGACAAUUUACUCAAUGGAACACUGCCGUCAUGGUUGUAUACUGCUCCCUCCUUAAAGACAAUAUAUCUCUCUCAAAAUCAAUUCAGUGGGCAUAUCAAAGAAUUCCAAUCCAAAUCACUAGAAUGGAUAUGGUUAGAGAAUAAUAAACUCCAAGGUCCUCUUCCAUCUUCAAUAUUCCAACUUCUCAAUCUUACCCAACUUAGCUUAUCCUCAAAUUAUCUUAGUGGUGUCAUAGAGUUUCGCAUGUUCUCAAACCUUCCAAAUCUCGAAUAUCUUGACCUUUCAUAUAACAGCCUAUCCUUAACAUCUAAUACAACUUCUACUGUUAAUCUUACAAGCUUAUUUUUGUCAUCUUGCAAUCUUAGUGAAUUCCCCCAAUUUUUAAAAGGGCUUAAAAGUUUGGAAAGCUUAGACCUCUCUUGCAACAAAAUUGAAGGCAAGAUUCCACAGUGGAUGCGAGAGGUGGGGAAUGGCUCUUUGACUCACUUAAAUGUAUCUCACAACACUUUGACAGAAGUUGAGCACUUUCCAUGGAAGAAUAUUGAUGUUCUUGACUUAAGCUCCAAUUUGAUCAGUGGAAAUCUUCCGAUUCCAGCUUCGACCAUAAGAGUCUUUUUGAUCUCAAAUAAUAGUUUCAAUGGAGAGGUCUCUUCUUUAAUAUGCAAUGCCGCUUUUCUUGAAAUUCUUGAUUUGUCCCACAAUAACUUGAGUGGAACAAUUCCACAAUGUUUUGGAAAUUUGAGCAACAGCCUUCUAUUCUUGAAUCUGAAGAAGAACAAGUUUUAUGGGACGAUUCCUCCAGCAUUUGCAAAGGGAUGCCGAUUGAGUAAUUUCAACUUAAAUGGAAAUCUGUUAGAAGGGCCUUUGACACCAUCCAUGAUCCAUCCUUAAUUGUAAUGGUCUGGAAGUGCUAGAUCUUGGUAACAACAAGAUCAAUGAUACAUUUCCUCAUUGGUUGGGAAGUCUUCCACAGCUACAAGUUCUUGUAUUGAAGUCAAAUCAACUGCAUGGUUCCUUAUGUGUCAAUAGCUCCAAGUCUAUCCCUUUUUUCUCUAAAAUCCAAAUUUUUGAUCUCUCAAGUAAUUAUUUUUCUGGACCCCUACCAGUGAGAUACAUCAACAGCUUCAAGGCUAUCAUAAAUCUAGAGAAGAUUGGGAGUACAAUGUCGUACAUGGGGGUGUAUGCUCAGAGAGGUAGUGCCUUCUAUACCCAUUCCAUUGGAAUUGUUAUGAAAGGACAAGAUAGGGAAUUGGUGAAAAUUUUCACCAUGUGGAUGAUCAUUGAUCUAUCAAACAAUCAGUUUCAAGGGGGUAUUCCAAAGGUUAUUGUGAAGCUUAACUUGCUGAAAGGGCUCAACCUUUCUCAUAAUAACCUUAAUGGUGGUAUCCCCACCUCAAUAGGGAAUUUGACAAGUCUUGAAUGGUUAGACCUAUCUUCAAACAGUUUGUCUGGGACGAUUCCAAAUAGAUUGGCAGAUCUGCCAUUUCUUUCGUCCUUCAAUGUUUCUGAAAAUCAACUCCAUUGUCAGAUUCCUCAAGGCAAACAGUUCAACACAUUUGGAAAUGAUUCAUAUGAAGGAAACAAGGGAUUAUGUGGAUUUCCGGUCUCAAAAGGUUGCAACAUCAUUGAGCCAGCACCUCUAAAUGUGCUUGAAAAAGAUGGCUCAAAAUCAAACAUUACUUUUGGUUGGAAAGUGGUGUUGAUAGGUUAUGGAUGCGGAGUGGUGUUCGGAAUGUCCGUGGGAUAUGUUGUUUUCCAAACUGGUAAGCCGAAAUGGUUGGUGAAUUUGGUUGAAAUCCAACAUGAGAAGAAGCGAAGAAGAAAGUCAAAGGAUGGCAGUCGCAGCAAUGGAUGAAGAAGGAUCUAGUUAGUGGAAAUGAUGUUCAAGUGUUGAUGUUGUAUCUUCAUAAUUUCUUGUUUUGAAGUCUUUCAAUUUUUUUCCUAUGGUGAAAGGUUGCAUUGCCAUGCAUCUGUCUUUACUUUUGUAACAAUUCAUCUGUCAUAAUAUUAUAGAUUUUAUUGAUUUUAAUUUUUUCUCUAAUUUUUAAUAAAAAUAGGGGCAUAAUUGCUUUUUUUUUUUAAGUUUGAGAGUAUUUUUUAUGCAUUUUGAAAGUUCAAGUACCAAAUUGAGUGCAAAAAAAAAAAGAGUAGGGGCUUAAUUACUUUUUUUGAAAAUGUUUGAGAGCUUUUUUGAUGUAUCAAAUGAAAUACAAAUUUUGAGUAAAUCAACUAUUCAUUUUUAUGAAUAAAAAUUAUAUGGUAAAAAGGAAGUAGUGUUAAUAAUAAUAAAAAAGAUCAACAAUAGAAAACUAAUAAAGCAAUUUAGCCUAUGAUCUGCGCAAUAUAUUACUACAAAUGUACUGUACAAAAUAUUGAAGAAAACUAAUAAAGAAAUCUGAAAUUUUAACAAGUUCCGCAAAUAAUGUUUAUGAUUUGCUGUAAAUUGAUAUGUCAAAUUAGGCUCUCCAUCACACUUAAAAGUUUAUUUUCGAGCAAUUUAGAUAUCUUUGUUGCGUUUUUAUUUUGUUUUAGUUGUUUAUAUUAAUAAAUGAUUAGUGUGCAUUUUGAUGCUAUUUUAAGACCUGAGAUGGCCAAAUGGCACCCGGGGAAUCUAAUGAGGUUGGUGAGUGAUGCAGAGAGCCCAUGGUGGCCCGGAAGGAACGAAAAUGUUACCUAGAAAGAGGGUAUCGCAUUUCAAAGCAUGAAAGUCGUAAUACCCAUAACAAUGUUAAAAACAAGGAAGAUUGAGCCAUCAACAAUGUUAUCGUGAUACCGGUCAUAAGAUAUCGCGAUACCCAAAACUUCCAAGGAUCCCCCAAGACUGUUGUGGAUAUCGCGAUACCAAACUUUGGGUAUCGCAAUAUCAUUGAUGAGAGGAGACAAAAUAUAACUGUAGGGGUAAUCCUUUUCCAACAUGUGGAAUGGCCAUGGGAUGUGUUGUUUUCCAAACCGGUAAGGCGAAAAGGUUCGUGAAUUUGGCUGAAGACCAACAUGAGAAGAGGCGAAGAAGAAAGCCAAAAUAUAGCAAUCGCAUCAAUGGAUGAAGAAGGAUCUAGUUGGUUCAAAUGAAGUUAAAGCAUUUGUGCUGUGUCUUCAUAAUUUCUUGUUUAGUAGUCUGUCAGAAAGUUUUUCCUAUGGUGAAAAGUUGCAUUGCUAUGUGUCUGUUUUUAUGAUUGUACCAAUUCCUCUGUAUUUCAUUGCAUUUCGUACUAUUUGUAAGGGUUUAGUUCAGUGUAACAUCUUGUAUGGUGCAACUAUGUAUGUCUUCUUUCUUGAAUUUCAACUUUUAGUAAACAUUAUACUGCUCACCAUAAAAAAAAUACAUGUAGAAUUACAAAAGAUUCAAUUAUUCAAGUUUGAGUUGCAUUUAUAAACAUGUGAUGAUGAGAAUUCAUGAACAAAAGGUAUGGUUUGAGCCCUUUUGCAAUAUGCGUUUAUGUUGCAUUUACCUAUAUAUCUAUCGACAAAUUUAAGAGUAAUAUUUACAAUAGCAUUGCAGAGUAACAUAUUUACGAUUGGAUUACACAGUCAAAAGAUUGCAGCAACGAUGAGAUUAAUCCAAUUACAGGAAUUGAUAUCCUAAAUGGCUUUUAGGUACGUAGCUUCAUUGACGGUACAAACUAGUUAAAAUUUCCAGAAUUCAUGUCUUUGUUUUCCCUCAAGUAAACGUAGUCAAUACUGCAAAUGGUGUGGAAGUAUUGUACAUUGUGGCCCAAAUGUCCAAAAUUUCCACAUUGCUUGUAAAUUAAGUGAUGAAAACCAAAACUGUUUGAGGCAUCCAAUUACCCACAGAGAUAGGAAGUAAGGACGCAUGUAUAAUUAUUAUCAUUAAUUAAAGCAUAUAUAAUUACAUUAAAUAUAGGAUAAACUAUAAAAAUAAUCACUUUUAUUUACCUCAUAUUACAUUUUAGUCACUUAUGUUUGAAAUGUUACAUUUUGGUCACUUACGUUAUCGUUUUGGUACGAAGUGGUCACUCUACCGUUAAGCUCCGUUACCUCCCUAACGGCGAUUCUACGUGAUAGUCCAAAUGAGUUUUAAAUGCCAACUUAAAUGUCUUGCGUGGCUGUCUAAAUUAAAUUUAUUUAAUUAAAAACUUAUUUUCAUCUCAACAACCGGACAUUCAAGUUCGCAUUUAAAACCCAUUUAGACUGCCACGUAGGACUGCCGAUAGGGAGGUAACAGAGUUUGAUAGUAGAGUAACCACUUCAUAACAAAACGAUAAUGUAAGUGGCUAAAACAUAACAUUUCAAACAUAAGUAAUUAAAAUAUAAUAUAAGGUAAACAAGCCUUAAAUAUAUAAAUUACUAUGAUUACUAUCAAGAUAGCAUUGACCUGUUCAACAGGCGGAACCAAUAGAUCUGACCAUUUGGUGACUCUAGCAGUCGAUAAGUGUGAGUGGCAGACUGUGCAACUUGUAACUAUGUUAAUUGAUGAAAAGCUUUUUGAUAGAAGAUAAUAAACUAGUGGCAAUGGCAAACGGUUCCAAGACGAGGUGGGACACCGAGGCUUUGUGUAACAGGGGAAUAGAUGCACUCAAUGCUGGCGGCUGUUGACUUGUAUUUCUCUCUAACAAUUUAAAUCACCAGCUUGCUUCAUCCAUCUAUAAAUAAGGGUCUUCUUCAGUUUCAUAAAUGCAUAGAAAAUUAACAAGCUCAAAUUCCUUCUUUUCAUAUUCAUCUCUUUUACUUUGAAUUGCAACUUUAUCCUGCCUAAAUUCCUCAACCAUGAACCACCCAUCAGGACAGCCUCAAAAUGAACUUCCUUGGUCCGCCGGAUUCUGCGAUUGUUGCUCUGACCUGAAAACUUGUAACCCUUUCUUCUUUCUUCAAUAUCAGUUCUGUC